AGCUUUGUGUGGUGGCAGUAUCAUAGCCAAUGAGGUUUAUCUGAGGUGCGAUUAUUGCUAAUAGAAUUGGAAAGUAACAUUUAACUUUUGUACUUGAAAUGUGAAUAGUUCA
rnacentral:snRNA from 1 species